rnacentral:rRNA from 1 species
CAGCCGCCGCGGGAAUACAGAGGGUGCAAGCGUUAAUCGGAAUUACUGGGCGUAAAGCGCGCGUAGGUGGUUUGUUAAGUUGGAUGUGAAAUCCCCGGGCUCAACCUGGGAACUGCAUCCAAAACUGGCAAGCUAGAGUAUGGUAGAGGGUGGUGGAAUUUCCUGUGUAGCGGUGAAAUGCGUAGAUAUAGGAAGGAACACCAGUGGCGAAGGCGACCACCUGGACUGAUACUGACACUGAGGUGCGAAAGCGUGGGGAGCAAACAGGAUUAGAUACCCCUGUAGUCCCUGUCUCUUAUAC